UACGGAGGGGGCUAGCGUUGUUCGGAAUUACUGGGCGUAAAGCGCACGUAGGCGGCUUUGUAAGUCAGAGGUGAAAGCCCGGAGCUCAACUCCGGAAUUGCCUUUGAGACUGCAUCGCUUGAACACGGGAGAGGUGAGUGGAAUUCCGAGUGUAGAGGUGAAAUUCGUAGAUAUUCGGAAGAACACCAGUGGCGAAGGCGGCUCACUGGACCGUUGUUGACGCUGAGGUGCGAAAGCGUGGGGAGCAAACAGG
rnacentral:rRNA from 1 species